CUACAGCUUUUGCUGCUUUCCACUAGCAGAGAUGGAAGUGGCGCUUUGGCUGCUGGCAUUGUGCGCCCUGUUGCUGCCAGCGCUCUGGCUGCUGAGCUUUCUGCGCACUGAUACCGACCUGACACUGCUGUGGGCUGCGUGGCUGGGCAGGCGUCCAGAACAGGUCCUGACUGGCAUGGUGGUGUGGGUGACUGGGGCCUCCAGUGGCAUUGGCGAGGAGCUGGCUUUCCAGUUAUCGAAGCUCGGAGUGUCUCUGGUGCUGUCAGCCCGAAGGACGCAGGAGCUGGAGCGGGUGAAGAGACGAUGCCUGGAGAAUGGCAAUAUGAAAGAAAGAGAUAUACUGGUGUUGCCCCUUGACCUGGCUGACACAAGUUCCCAUGACACAGCUAUGAAAGCCAUCCUCCAGGAGUUUGGGAGAAUUGACAUUCUGGUCAACAAUGGUGGAAUAUCCCACUAUUCCUUCGCUGCAGACACCAACCUGGAUGUUUUCAAGUUGAUAACAGAUGUGAACUACUUAGGGACGGUGUCCUUGACCAAGUGUGUUCUACCUCAUAUGAUGGAGAGAAAUCAAGGAAAGAUUGUGAUCAUGAAUAGCAUCGCGGGAAUUAUGCCUGUGCCACUUUGCAGUGCGUACAGUGGCAGCAAACACGCUCUUCGGGGUUUUUUAAAUGCACUCCACGCUGAACUUUAUGACUACCCGGGUGUAACAGUGUCUACCAUUUGCCCAGGACCUGUGCAUUCGAAUAUUUACCAGAAUUGUUUUCUUGGAGAAGUCACUAAGGUUUUGGGCAAGAAGGUACGAGACAUUCCCAAGAUGUCAACGAGCCGUUGUGUCUGGCUAAUACUAGUCUCCAUGGCCAAUGACCUGAAGGAAGUCUGGAUAGCUGAUCAGCCUGUCUUGUUUGCAAUCUAUGUGUGGCAGUAUGUGCCAUUCCUGGACUGGAUAAUUUCAAAGAAGACUUGGGGAAAAAUUAUUAACCAAUAUAUAAUGGACUGGGCCAGAAGAAUGUCAGAACCCCUGGGAAUGGUUGUGUGCCUCCUGAUCUGAGUGAUAAGACCCAAACCUCAGGUGCUCUGGAAGAAGAGCAAGUCUUAACUGUUAAGCUAUCUUGUUUCUUCUGUUUUCCAACACUUGUUACAACCACUAAAAAAAGCAGAAUUACCUGGAAAACAGCUAUCACAAGAGGCCAAGCAAAUGAGGCCACCUAAUCCUGCCCUUUCCACCAUCAAUGUGGCUACAGCAUCCCCUUGAAGUAUGGAAGACAAAGAAUGACUGAAGGGGGUCCUCGUGGUUUCCAAACCUGCAGAAAGGUAGCUGGGAAGCAUAUAUAUAUAUAUAUAUAAUGCUCUUCUCAUGCACAGAAGACUACCUGAAGACCAAAGUAUAAUUUUAUAUUUGUUAUCUUGCAAAAGAAGGUUGUUGGUUUUUUUCUAGUUCCCACCAUUUGCCUGCAAAUUUUAUGAUUUCCUUGUUUUUAUUUGCUGAAUAGUGUUCCAUUGUGUAAAUGUACCACAGUUUCCGUAUCCAUUCCUUUGUUGAGAGACAUCUAGGUUGUCUCCAGAUUCUGGCUAUUACAAAUAAAGCUGCCAUGAACACGGUUGAGCAAAUGUCCUUAUUGAAUAUUGAGGCAUCUUUCGGGUAUAUGCCUAGGAGUAGUAUGGCUCUUUGAUCACCUCCCCCUGUGGAGUGCAGCCUUGUUAGGCCACAGAGAAAAGUGAUGCACCCGGCCUUGAUGAGACCUGAUAAACUAGGGUCAGAUAGAAGGGGAGGACGACCUCCUCUAUCAGGGGACUAGGGAAAAGGGCAUAGGGGGAGAAGAGGGAUGGUGGGUGGGACUGGGUGGAGAUGAGGGAUGGUGCUGCGGUGGGGAUACAAAGUAACUAAAUUGUAAUAAAUAAAUAUAUAAAUGAACUUAAAUUUAAAAAAGAAAUUAAAAAUGUUUGAAUAAUAAAUAUCUAAUAAAUUAAAAAAAAAAGGAUACUGGGGACUGGAGAGAUGGCUCAGUGGUUAAGAGCACUGUUAUUUGUGCCGGAGUUUCUGAGUUCAAUUCCCAGCACGCAUAUGAUGGCUCACAACUAUCUGUACUAGGAUCGGAUGCUUUCUUCUGACAUGCCAGUGUACAUGCAGAUAGAACACCUCAUAUACAUGAAAUAAAUAAUAACUUUUUUUUAAAAAAAGGCUGGCCAGGUAGCCCAGGCUGGUAACUCAGGGUCUUAUUUCCACAGCCUUCUGAAUAUUGGAAUUUUAGGCAUGUGAUCCUCUUUUGUGCUUUAUUUUCAUUUUUUAUCUAACUUUUUCAACAUGUAAUAAAUAAAAAGUAAAAUAUUGCCGUGAAUAUUGUAAAAAGGAUAAUGUAUACUACAUAAUUGAAUAAAAUAACAGUUAAUUAA